rnacentral:rRNA from 1 species
GAUGAACGCUGGCGGCGUGCUUAACACAUGCAAGUCGAACGGUGAAGCAGAGCUUGCUCUGUGGAUCAGUGGCGAACGGGUGAGUAACACGUGAGCAACCUGCCCCUGACUCUGGGAUAAGCGCUGGAAACGGCGUCUAAUACUGGAUAUGAGCUGCGACCGCAUGGUCAGCAGUUGGAAAGAUUUUUCGGUCUGGGAUGGGCUCACGGCCUAUCAGCUUGUUGGUGAGGUAAUGGCUCACCAAGGCGUCGACGGGUAGCCGGCCUGAGAGGGUGACCGGCCACACUGGGACUGAGACACGGCCCAGACUCCUACGGGAGGCAGCAGUGGGGAAUAUUGCACAAUGGGCGAAAGCCUGAUGCAGCAACGCCGCGUGAGGGAUGACGGCCUUCGGGUUGUAAACCUCUUUUAGCAGGGAAGAGGCGAAAGUGACGGUACCUGCAGAAAAAGCGCCGGCUAACUACGUG